CAGCCUCAGGACUAUGGGCCAUGCAAAAAGGCUCAUAAAAUACCUUGCCUUUUUGCUAUUCUGUUCGGUAGAUUGCAUUCCCCUCCUAUUCUAACAUUGUCCUGUUCGACUACCGCAUGAACCAGGGAACAUCCGGGAGCUUGUUAACACCUUGGAAUGGUUCUUACUGCAGUGUUCUAAUUGUUUGUCUGGGUGGCUGCAAUUUCUAUGAAUAACCACAAGGUGGCAGCCAUCUUGUUUGGGUAUGAAUCUCAUGGAACUAAAAUCGGACACAGAAACUCCCAAAAAACCACUGGGCUUCCAUCAUUGCCUGCAUUUGGCUCUAUACACUUUAGAAGGGCACUGUUCUGUAAAAUCGUUCGUCUGAAUGAGGGGAACAAGCUCCAGGGUAAGAACAUUGACUAUGUUCGGUAGUUUGUUCGUUUUUCAAACUACUGAACUAGACCAACCGCAAACCCUGAUUCUAUGGAACAGUUUUAGGCAUGGGACAAUGUGUGCGGUCGGUCAAAUAAAUGAAAUUCCUGAACCCCUGAACUGAUCUGGGUGAUUUUUGGAUAUGUUGG